rnacentral:rRNA from 1 species
UACGGAGGGGACUAGCGUUGUUCGGAAUUACUGGGCGUAAAGAGUACGUAGGCGGUAACGCAAGUUGGGUGUGAAAGCCCGGGGCUCAACCCCGGAACUGCAUUCAAAACUGUGUUGCUAGAGAUCGGAAGAGGUAAGUGGAAUUCCCAGUGUAGAGGUGAAAUUCGUAGAUAUUGGGAAGAACACCGGUGGCGAAGGCGACUUACUGGUCCGAUACUGACGCUGAGGUACGAAAGCGUGGGGAGCAAAC